CGCCUUAGCAUUGAAUGCUAGGGAAGCAAGCGAGCAUUUGGCCUCCCCUGAUAAAAAAAAGCAUAAAUAAAUAGCAAUCAGCGUUGAGCUAAACUGAGUGAGCUCAACUGGGAAUGGUCCUGGCGCACCAAAAACAAGUGACAAGGGAAGCGAGUUUGGAUUUGGCUUCACUCCUAUCACAGAGAAACACGUUGUCGAUAGAAACAACUUGAAUUGUUGAAUCUCGUUGUGUUGUUGUCCUCUGGUGACUAGCUAGCUAGCUCAAAUUAUGCCUUUACUAAAUUAGCCAUGGAUGGAGAUAGAGAUUUGGACUUGUGGUUUUAAUUAAUUAUCUGUACUGGCCAAUGAUUAUAACGGCGAUUCGGAUCCAACCAUAAAAUACAUUGUGCCCCUGGACUGAGAGGAUGGAAGUUCAAUAUAUAGUUAGAUGUAGAAGGCUAAUGUUAACUAGCUAACGUUGCCCAUGAAAGGAAGUUAGGCUAGCGAGCAAGCAUUUUAGCCAGGUAGCCUAGGACAACAAAAAAUAAAAGCAUGUACUAUAUGACAGUCAUAAAGAUGGCAUUGGCGUUUCUCUACAAGUAGGGGAUCCUCUGAACACAUCAACAUCUGCCUCCCAUGAAGCAUCGUUACCUAUCGCUCCACAAAAGCCACAGCCCUACUACUUCAAGGUCUCAGAGUAUGUGAUGCACUGGCCCUAAUAUUUAUCUCUCUCUCUGAGGGAGGAGAGAGAGAGAUACACAUACCAGACAGGAUGUCCACUAUGUUUCUCUGGAUAUGAUUUCUUCCCAAAGUAUACCACAUCUCAGCUGUGUGUGUCCAUCUGUGUGUGUGAGUGUGUGCUGCUUAGGAUGGUUCCAGGCUCCUACAGAUCUGAGCCCUCUCUCAUUUAUACUCAAUUGGUUCCAAUUAGACUGUAUAGUGCACACCUAACACAAGGGCUGUGUCCCAACUGACACCCAAUUCCCUUAUAAUGCAUUACCUUUGACCAGGGCCCACAGCUCUAAAGUAGUGCACUAUAAAGGGAAUAGGGUGCCAUUGUGUCCCAAAUUCAUCAAGCAAGUCUGAUCAGCAUGGUCUAGCUUGUUAUGCUGGCAGACCAGCCUUUGUUGUGUUUUCGCUGGUGACUAGCCUUCAUUGUGUUUUGCUGGUGAUCAGCCUUCAUUGUGUUUUGCUGGUGAUCAGCCUUCAUUGUGUUUUGCUGGUGAUAAGCCUUCAUUGUGUUUUGCUGGUGAUCAGCCUUCGCUGUGUUUUCGCUGGUGACUAGCCUUCAUUGUGUUUUGCUGGUGAUCAGCCUUCGCUGUGUUUUUGCUGGUGACCAGUCACAUUAUGCUGGCUUGUGAAGUGAUGUUUCAUUCCUAUUAGAAUCCAGACAGAGUAGAUUCCCACAAUCUGCAUUCAGAAUGACUGCCAUGGUUAGAAAGAUGAAUGAAUGAGACUACAUAUACCAUGUAAACUAGAUCAACAAUUUCAGAAACAGGUGCAAUAUGUUCAACUGAUAGAUUGGAUUAGUUUAGAAAAAUGUAUGUUAUUUAGAAAAACAUCUAACUGCAAUAGAGCAUGAUGGGAAAUAUGAUAAUGAGAAGUGUGGUUUUGCAGACCUCUCGGUCACUGGCAUAGCACACCCCCCACGAGUUUUGGCCUUGUGUUUUAGGUUAUAGUCCUGUUGAAAGGUGAAUUCAUCUCCCAGUGUCUGGUGUUUAGCUCCAUUCCUUUACUUUAUUUUCCUGAAAACCUCCCCAGUCCAUAACGAUUACAAGCACACCCAUAACAUGAUCAAAUCAAAUCAAAUUGUAUUGGUCACAUACACAUGGUUAGCAGAUGUUAUUGCGAGUGUAGCGAAAUGCUGAUGCUUCUAGAUCCUACAGUACAGCAGUAUCUAACGGGUAAUAUCUAUCAAAUUCCACAACAAAUCCUAAUACACACAAUCUAGUAAAGGAAUGGGAUGAGAAUAUAUAAAUAUACGGAUGAGCAGUGACAGAGCGGCUAAGAUGUAAUAGAUAGUGUAGUAUACAGUAUAUACAUAUGAGAUAAGUAAUGUGAGACAUGUACACAUUCUAAAAGUGGC
rnacentral:lncRNA from 1 species